rnacentral:rRNA from 1 species
ACGGGGGGUGCAAGCGUUGUUCGGAAUUAUUGGGCGUAAAGCGCGUGUAGGCGGUUUGUUAAGUCUGAUGUGAAAGUCUCGGGCUCAACCUGGGAAGUGCAUUUGAAACUGGCUGACUUGAAUACAGGUGAGGGAGGUGGAAUUCCUGGUGUAGGGGUGAAAUCCGUAGAUAUCACGCGGAACACCGAUUGCGAAGGCAGCUUCCUGGACCAAAAUUGACGCUGAGGCGCGAAAGCGUGGGUAUAGAACAG